GAAGCGCCGCUGUUCCCGCCCCGACGCGGUAGCUAUGGUAACCAGUCACCAAUUUCAUGGAGUUGACUAGCUAUGGCAAGAAUAGAAGCAGAUGAUCACUGGGAAACACUGUCGCACUCUCCUUUAUCUCCCUUGACUAAAGUGGUGGAGGAAUCACAACAAAGCAAUCCUGUAGACGCCUUGCAUGGGAAUACUAUGGACCCAAUUUACACAUAUAUUUUGAAUGACAUACCAGGGGAGUUUAUGUUAUCCCAGGCAAAAGCAGUUAUUAAAACUACUGACAAUUAUUUGCAGCCUCAGUUUGGCCCCGACAGACUUUUGCAUUCAGCGGCAGUAUCAGAAGGGUCAGGAUUUCAAGAUUGCUGUACACAUCAAACAGCAUCAGAUCACAGCCAUGAGGAAAUAUCAAACCCAGAUAGUUACAAAUCAAACAGUAAAAACAAUUCUUGUUUUAUAUCAGCAUCCAAGAGAAACAGACCUGUCAGUGCUCCGAUGGGUCAACUGAGAGUUUUAAAGUUCUCCUCUCUAAAAUUUCAGUCCACUCAGAAUUGGCAAAGAUUGUCUCAAAGGUACAAACUUCAACCAAGAGUGAUUAAAGUAACAGCUUACAAAAAUGGAUCUAGAACAGUCUUUGCCAAAGUUACUGCUCCAACGGUCACCUUGUUGCUGGAGGAGUGCACAGACAAGCUGAAUCUGAACAUGGCCGCACGACGAGUGUUCUUGGCAGACGGCAAGGAAGUCCUCGAAUCUGAAGAUAUACCCCAUGAAGCUGAUGUUUAUGUUUCAACGGGAGAGCCCUUUUUAGAUCCAUUCAAAAAAAUUGAAGACCAUCUGUUGUUAAUGAAGAAAGUAACUUGGACAAUGAGUGGGCUGAUGCUUCCUACUGAUGUCAAAAGACGGAAAACCAAGCCUGUACUUUCUAUUAGAAUGAAGAAACUUAUUGAGAAGACCUCAGUCCGAAUUCUGUUCUUUAAGAAUGGCAUGGGGCAGGAUGGGCAUGAGAUUACAGUGGGAAAGGAAACAAUGAAAAAGGUUUUAGAUACUUGCACAAUGAGAAUGAAUCUAGACUCACCAGCAAGAUAUCUUUAUGAUAUGUAUGGCAGAAAAAUUGAAGAUUUUUCCAAAGUUCCUCUGCUUGAAAAAUGCCUUCAAAAUUCCAUCACACCUUUGCGGGGACCACUUUGGGUCUCUAAGGGAGAAGGUUUCAGCCCCUCAGGAGCUAAGAUGUACAUCCAAGGAGUUCUUUUGGCCUUGUACCAACGAUUACAGUCUGCAAAAAAAUAUUAUAAACAGUUGAACCUGGCUUUCAAUGACAAGAAGGAGAAAAUUACAGAAAAAGUUAUCCUUUCAAUGACAGCAAAGGAGCACCAUAAAGCAGAAGAAGAAGUAAGCAGGCUGAUUGAUGAAUUGCAGACAGCUAUCAAAAGCAACAGAGGUCAUCUCUCUAAACUUGGCCCCCAAUUACAGGCUGAGCAGGAGCAAUUCUCCUCUUAUGUCUACCAACACAUUAAAAGCCUUCCAGCAAACACUCUAGUCCCAGGAGGCCUGCAGCUCAAGGUGUUUGAAAAUGGUAAAGACACUGGAGAGACCUCUGUUUAUAUCAGUAAAAAAGAUUUAGGCUCUAAUAGAAAAACUCAGACUGACAAUAUGAUGGAAAGAUUACUUCUCAAGAUUCAUCAGAGGCUUCAAGGCUCUUCCAUCAACACACCAGGCCUCAAUUUUUCUUCAGCCCGGCUUUUCGAUGAGCAUGGUCAAGAAAUUAAGAAUCCACUUUUGCUGAAGAAUGAGCAAAAAAUUUGGGUCUCUUAUGGUAAAGCAUUCAGAUCUCCACUAAACCCUGUUUUGGGUUUGACCUUUGACCGAGUGACUGCAUUUGCCAGAGGUGGCAUCACAGUUGCCUAUAAGACCUUUUUGGAUCCUAAUGCUGUUCUGCUACCUGGAUGUGACAAUUGGGACAUUUGUGAGGGAUUUCCAAUUAAUUUCGACUGCACCAGUCAACAGAUACCUGAUCAAUUUGAAAAGAUGGACUUGGAGAGCCAUUUCCUACAGAAUAAGGUGGAUCCCAAUAUUGUCCUUCAUGCCUCUGUUUCCAUUGGAAAGCGGAGUUUCUCAAGUAGUGAAGUGAGCAGCAGGAGUCAGAUAGCUCCAUCAACCCUGUGGCCUGCAGCCAGUGUGUGGCUGAUCACCAAGGCUGGAAUGAUCCUGAGCCGAGCGAUAACUCAGGGCUGCCUAGCUGUUGGUCAUCCAAUCAGAGUCAAGGCCGCUGAGGGAGCAUCACUAGAAGGAUAUAAAUUAAUCCUACAGAAAAGACAUAAAGGAGAUGAAUCUCAGAAGUGGGUGUUCGGAACGGAUGGCUGUAUUUAUUCUAAGGCUUAUCCUCAAUUUGUUCUGACCUAUCUGGAGGAGCUAAAUGUACAAGUGGAUGUGACUCAAACAGAGUAUCACAUUCACCAUGGUGCUUGGACCACAGCUCAUCAAGAAUGUGGCAGAAACUUAACAGAAGAGGUUCUGCAAAAAUGUGCCAGCAACCCUGAUCUGAAGCAACUGCCAGAACCGUCAGACACCCAUUUAAUGCCAGAAGGUUCUCCUGAGGAGACAGGGCAGCUGACAGUAGCACUGGUGAGGAAACUGGAGGAGAAACAUCCUAAGGCUUCCGCUCAGAGGUGGGCCAUAAAACAUGAAGGGAUCAGUAAGCCAGGCCAAUGGAAGCAUUCCAGAGUUGAAAAUCCCCUAUGGAACAAGCUUACUUACAUGUGGCCGGUCCUUCCCAGUGGACAACUUAACGAGGACUUUGAUUGGCCAAUAGAAGGACUGCUUAUUCCUAAUAGCCCUCCCAUGAAGAGACCCAUCCAGAAGACACCAGAGCAGUAUGUCCCUAUGAGACUCAGAGUUUUGAGGAAUGGAGAUAAGAAUAAAAGCAGAUCCCUUGUUACAAUUUGUCCAGACAUCUCAUCUAAAACACAAAAUGUUAAUCCUGAAAGGAAAGAGAAAAUCUGUGUUACUAAGAAUUCUGUGACAGAAAUAAAAAAGACUGAAUUUCAUCAUCUUUUGGAGAGGUGCACUGAAAUUUUAAAAUUACCUUCUGCAGCUCGGAGAUUAUUCAAUGAAAAGGGCAUGGAAAUCUUUUCCCUAAAGGACCUGCAAAGAGAUGAACUGGUAUAUGUUUCAUGUGGAGAACAUUGGAUCAAUCCUGACCUGUCUAUUGCUCAGCAAAAGAAGCAAAUCUUCCUCAGGAACCUAGCAUCUGACAUUUCCAAAAUUCAAACCUUCUGCAGCACACGUAAAGAAGAAACUCUUGUUUUAGAAGUCCAAAGCGACAUUGUGGCUGGAGGCAAGCUUGCUGUGCAAAAACCCAUAGCAAUUUUUGGAGAAGAGAAGCAAGUUGAAGAAACAGAGGAAAAGCAAAUGCCAACUGAUGCUUCAACAAGAGCUGAUGCUUCCAGAGAAAUCUUAGAUUCACAUGCAAGAGCCCACCUCCGAAUGGAAACUUGUCAGACGCUUCUCAGGUAUGCCUGGCAGAAUACUUCGCAGGACUUUGAUGAGGAUGUCAGUCUUCCAAAGAAAAUGAAAGAAGUCUUUGAAAAUGUAGAACCACAAAAGAAACACAGCCAUUCUCCAAAGCAGGCCAAAUUGCAGAAGGUUUCCCGUCAGCAGUUUGAAUACAGAGAUGGGCAAAUUAUAAGCCAUGCUGCUCCUCAGCUUGUUUUGGGGUUACAAAGCUCCAACCUCCAUUCAGGUAGCGAAGUGGUUUUGGUGGAGAAGAAAUCUGAUGAUAAUCAUCAACGCUGGAUACACAAAGAGGACAGCAGGACUUUUCACCUGGCAAGUAACCCUGACCUUGUGCUGGCAGUGUCUAUGACCAAGGCUAGAAAUGAAGCCUGUGGCUAUCCAGUUAUUGUUCAGAAAUAUAAGCCAUACAACAAUGGAACUGCCCAUCAAAAGUGGCAGUACUUGGAAAAUUUGAAAACAUUUAUGGCCUUUUAUAGCACUACUUUGGAUAAGGAAAUCACAUUGGCAAAUUUUGCUGGUAUUUGUACAUCUUCUGUCAUUAAAGGAGAAAACAUUGAUCAACCAGGAUACUAUUAUCUCUCAGCUGGUGGAAAGAGGAAAAUGAUGCUCUGCCUGGCUUGUGGACAAUGCAUGAGACCAGAGAAGAGACUGAAACAGUUGCUUCCAGGGGUUCCAUUCCUCUGUGUUUCAGGCUCCAAGACCCAGAAGCCCCUAUCACAAGGGCCUUUCAAGGUCAUCAGUGUGGUCAAGGCUGACUUAUCAUCUUACGAGGCUGACAAAACUCUAAGUUAUUAUGAAGAACUCCUAUUAUCUUUACGGACGAAGACCUGCAUGCAAGCUGUGUGUCACAGUGGUAUAGCAGCCACACACCAGAAGGCAGUGAAAAUAAUCGCGUACAAAAACGGGGAUGGAUAUCGUAAUGGGAAGUUAAUUGUGGCUGGAACAUUCCCCAUGCUUCUUACAGAAUGCACAGGACAGCUUGGGCUUUCCAGAGCAGCUUCCAAAGUAUACACCAGAGAUGGAACCACAGUUUUUACCUUGCGUGAUUUGGUUUUAUGGGCUCUAAAUGAAUCCUUUAUGCAGAGAGACUCUGAAGAACAAAAGACAGGCUCCACUCCUGUUGGAACAGAAGAGAUGACUGCUAAAAAAAACUCUAUAAUGAAAUUGAGAACCAAAUUAUUUUCUGGAUCUGUGAAAUCUGAUAGUUUGGAUGGUAUAGAUAAGUCUUUGCUCACCCUCAUUCUCAGAAAUCCUAUUGCUGUCUGGGUAUCUUGUGGUGAACCAUUUAUACCUCCAAAUGCAUUGCAGAAAGCAGAAAAAUUAGAGAAACAGAACUGGCUAAAAAAGGACAAAAUUUUGGCUGAUCUAGGUACCAUGAAACACAAAAUGAGGCAGUUAAAAGGGCGGCGAGUAACAGCAUGUCAGCCAGCUUCCAUGGUUCCUACCAAAAGCCCUGUGCAGCCAGUGGUGGUUGAAGGAGGCUGGACUGAGCAGACUCAAGAGGAAAUUAAACUCAUGGAACUCAUAAGACACACAGAGGCACAACUUUCGGAAGUUCAAGAACUGCAAUCCAAACAAAAUUCCCCAGUUGCAACUAAACAUAAAGCAGUCCAGCAGAGUAGCCUGUACAAGCAACCCAACACAAAACGAGUCUGGGCUUAUCUAAAUGGAAGAAGACCUGAAGAUGGCACUUAUGCCUGGGGCAGGACUGUUACAGAGCUACUAGAUAACUGUUCCUCUCGUAUCAAAAUGACCCAUCCAGCCAGAACCCUGUACACCCAAGAUGGAGAAUUGAUUCAGUCAUGGGAUGACAUAGAACGAGACAUGGUCAUCUGUGUGUCUAUGGGACAUGACUUUAUAACCCAGAAAGAGUUAAAGCAAGUGGUGGAGGUCAGAGCAAAUUAUGCCAGAAUUCGAAGACAGCUGGGCCCUCAAGCUACAGACCUGGUCCUGUUACCAUCUUCAGAGCUGCUGUCACUGGGUUGCUGUGUUUGUCAGUUUUGAACUGCUAGAACAGAGUACUGGAGGCUAAAUAUAAAGAACAGAAGUUUAUUUCUCUCCAUUUUGGAGGCAGGAAAGUACAAGAUCAAGAUCAAGGCACCAGUAUCUGGAAAGAAAACUUUCAUCACAUACCUGUAAAUAGAAGACUGUGACAAAAAGCCCAGUUAUUUAGAUUGUGGAGACUCUCUGAAAUUAGGCAAAUUCACUUCUAAAAAUGAAAACUUCAUAGAUUAUUGUUAAAAUGUAAUCCUAAAAUCUACCUACAAAAUAACUGGAUUUUUCAUGGGCAUAUAUUUGAAGAAUUACCAACAUUGGCAAAUCCGCCACAAUAGAUCCUUUAAUUCGUAGGAAGACAUAUGAUAAUUAGAACCAGUGUUAGCCUUAGAGACUGUGUUAAUAGAGAAAUCCUAUAUAUAUUGUUCAGUGUUUUUCAUCCAUAGAGUAGCCUAUUUUUUAAAAAAUGAAUAAAUUGUAUAUAUGUCAAGUAAGUCUUUUGUGUCCCCUAGAGAGCAGAGAUUCUGGGCUUUAUUUAUUCAGGACAGGGUUCUACCCACAAGUCCUCCUUGACAAAGCCCUGAGUUCCCACUCCAUAGCAGCAUGAUGGAAAGACAAAGGUUGUCAUCUUCGACCCUCAUGCAGGCCUCAGACUGAAAUAACAGCAGUGCAACAGCAAUGGAAGGCCUGCUUUGGAGAAUUCCCUUCCUCCAGCUGCUCAGGAGGAACUGCAGUCCUCAGAGAUGAGUUAAGUGAAGUUAGAGCUGAAUAAUCCUUUCUGCUUUGUGCAAAUGAAAUAUAUGUCAUGGCAUAGAUUAGGCAUCUUAUAUUCUUAAAAUCUAUCUGAUGACUCUAUAUUUUGGUUUUAAACACCUAGUUUGAAAAAACAUACAAAAUUAUGUGGAAUUACUUUUAAAUGAGUUGACAGCAUUUAAAACAUCAGCAGAUUAUUAUGAAGCAGUUCUCAAAUUGUUUUGAUUGAUACCUUCUUUUGAGAAUCUUUUGGAAAACCACAUUCUCACAAAAUGUACCUUCCACAAACUCUUGUUGUUUUCGAACACCAUUUCAUGGAGCUCAUAGAAGUUACCUGAAAAAUGUCAGUAAAAUUUCCAAAUAAAGAAGUCUUCAUAUUUUAAAAAUAUAUUUUUAUUUCCAUAAUCUUAAAAAAUGUUUGAAGGACAUAAGAUCCAAGCCUCUCAAAUGGACAACAUCAAAAUACACAUUUGGAUAAAGCAGAUUCUUUGGCUGUUGUAAUCUGUUAUUUUGUUAUGUUGAAAAACAAUAAAUCAUGAAAGUUUCUUAUUA